UGAGGAACCAAUGGCAUGCAGAUUGGACUUUGCAAAAGGCAGAGGAAUGCUCAGUCUAGACUGCAUUCAUCUGAGUUACAAGAAUGAUUCCCUGUGUCCCUGCGAUCCAUCUCUCCUUGAGUGCCCUUCUGUUCGGAGACAUGCCUGACUGUGGAACUUGAGGAUAUGUGUCCUUCAAUGUCCCCUGAGUAUUUCAACAGCUGCCAAAGGCAGUAGCACACACGGGAAGGAGACCUCAUAAGCAUUUUCAGUGACGUAAGACUGCAAGUAUAUAACUGUGAUGUGAUGUGCUUGGUGCAAGUGGCAUGAACUAUCCAGAAAGAAGAUUAUAAGUAAUCACUAAAAAUAUAAUUUUAUUAUUUGUUUCUUUUAACCUCCAGCUCAAAUAGCCUGGAGUGUGCCUGUGGGUGCUUCGGGGCGAGUUACCACAUUGGCAGUAUACUUCAUUAUUGUUGAAGCAAAAAACAAGAAAAGUCUGGGUACCUUUAUCUAAUUAGUGGCAUAGGUUUCUAUUGUUUAUAUGUUAAAUAAAUUUGCAUCCUCUGGCCUCUGAACUUGGCUAUUUAGCCCA